ensembl:rRNA 5S_rRNA 5S ribosomal RNA
GCUUACAGGCCAUUACCAGCCUCAACACGCCCGAUCUCGUCUGAUCUCGGAAGCUAAGCAGGCUUGGGCCUGGUCAGUACUUUGAUGGGAGACUGCCUGGGAAUACCAGGUGCUGUAAGCU